GACGAACGCUGGCGGCGUGCUUAACACAUGCAAGUCGAACGGAAAGGCCCUGCUUUUGUGGGGUGCUCGAGUGGCGAACGGGUGAGUAACACGUGAGUAACCUGCCCUUGACUUUGGGAUAACUUCAGGAAACUGGGGCUAAUACCGGAUAGGAGCUCCUGCUGCAUGGUGGGGGUUGGAAAGUUUCGGCGGUUGGGGAUGGACUCGAGGGUUAUCAGCUUGUUGGUGGGGUAGUUGCUUACCAAGGCUUUGACGGGUAGCCGGCCUGAGAGGGUGACCGGCCACAUUGGGACUGAGAUACGGCCCAGACUCCUACGGGAGGCAGCAGUGGGGAAUAUUGCGCAAUGGGCGGGAGCCUGAUGCAGCAACGCCGCGUGCGGGAUGACGGCCUUCGGGUUGUGAACCGCUUUCGCCUGUGACGAAGCGUGAGUGACGGUAAUGGGUAAAGAAGCACCGGCUAACUACGUG
rnacentral:rRNA from 1 species